rnacentral:rRNA from 1 species
UACGGGGGGGCAAGCGUUGUUCGGAAUUCCUGGGCGUAAAGGGCUUGUAGGCGGCCAACUAAGUCCGACGUGAAAUCCCCAGGCUUAACCUGGGAACUGCGUCGGAUACUGGAUGGCUUGAAUUCGGGAGAGGGAUGCAGAAUUCCAGGUGUAGCGGUGAAAUGCGUAGAUAUCUGGAGGAAUACCGGUGGCGAAGGCGGCAUCCUGGACCGACAUUGACGCUGAGGAGCGAAAGCUAGGGGAGCAAACGGG